UAUAAAAAUUUAGAAAUAAAUUAUAUAAUUUUUGUGCAGUCGAUUUGAAUAGGAUAGAUGAUUCUUGUCAAUCAGGAAGCUUCUAAUAUUUAACGGAAGGUGCUGGCUUGGAAGGUGCAAUAGGUUAUGAAUACUUCGCAUUCAUAUAAAUGGAAAUGAGUGGUUUCGUAUUACGUUCGAUGUUCCGAAUUGUUGUCAAACUUCGAGCAUAUGGUCUCCUUAAUCCAAUUCGAUAAACGAAAUCGUAGCACGAGCUGCCAUUUUGUUGUCGAAUGUCGUGCUGUUUGGUGGCUUCAUUUUGCUUUCAGUUCUCGCUUCUUAAUUCAUAAUGGUUGUGCAAUAACUUUUCAUGGGAUAUUAAUAGCAGCAUCAUUAGCAGAUUUUUCACAUCUAAUGGUGAGUCACA